UGGGGAAUAUUGCACAAUGGGGGCAAGCCUGAUGCAGCCAUGCCGCGGGUGUGAAGAAGGCAUUCGGGUUGGAAAGCACUUUCAGCGGGGAGGAAGGCGUUAAGGUUAAUAACCUUGGCGAGUGACGUUACCCGCAGAAGAAGCAGCGGCUAACGCCGUGCCAGCAGCCGCGGUAAUACGGAGGGUGCAAGCGUUAAUCGGAAUUACUGGCGUAAAGCGCACGCAGGCGGUUGAUUAAGUCAGAUGUGAAAUCCCCGGGCUUAACCCGGAAAUUGCAUCUGAUACUAGUCAGCUAGAGUCUUGUAGGGGAAGGUAGAAUUCCAUGUGUAGCGGUGAAAUGCGUAGAGAUGUGGAGGAAUCCCGGUGGAGAAGGCGGCCCCCUGGACAAAGACUAACGCUCAGGUGCGAAAGCGUGGGGAGCAAACAGG
rnacentral:rRNA from 1 species